AUAUAUAUUUUAAGGAGAAAAGGUUAGCACUCCCCUCCACAAGAAUGGAUGCUGUCCUAUUGGCCCACAUAACACAUAAGAGUAUGGAUAAGGAAAUACUUUCUUUUGU
ensembl:snRNA